rnacentral:rRNA from 1 species
ACAACGGGUGGAGCCUACGGUUUAAUUGGACUCAACGCCGGGCAGCUCACCGGAUAAGACAGCUGGAUGAUAGCCGGGCUGAAGACUCUGCUUGACUAGCUGAGAGGAGGUGCAUGGCCGUCGUCAGUUCGUACUGUGAAGCAUCCUGUUAAGUCAGGCAACGAGCGAGGCCCACGCCAACAGUUGCCAGCAUGUCCUCCGGGAUGAUGGGGACACUGUUGGGACCGCCUCUGCUAAAGAGGAGGAAGGAAUGGGCAACGGUAGGUCAGCAUGCCCCGAAUUAUCCGGGCUACACGCGGGCUACAAUGGUCAGGACAAUGGGUAUCGACACCGAGAGGUGGAGGCAAUCUCCUAAACCUGUCCUUAGUUCGGAUUGUGGGCUGCAACUCGCCCACAUGAAGCUGGAAUCCGUAGUAAUCGCGUUUCAAAAUAGCGCGGUGAAUAUGUCCCUGCUCCUU